rnacentral:rRNA from 1 species
AACGAACGCUGGCGGCAGGCCUAACACAUGCAAGUCGAGCGAGGACUUCGGUUCUAGCGGCGGACGGGUGAGUAACGCGUGGGAAUGUGCCCUUCUCUACGGAAUAGCCCUGGGAAACUGGGAGUAAUACCGUAUACGCCCUUUUGGGGAAAGAUUUAUCGGAGAAGGAUCAGCCCGCGUUGGAUUAGGUAGUUGGUGGGGUAAUGGCCUACCAAGCCGACGAUCCAUAGCUGGUUUGAGAGGAUGAUCAGCCACACUGGGACUGAGACACGGCCCAGACUCCUACGGGAGGCAGCAGUGGGGAAUCUUAGACAAUGGGGGCAACCCUGAUCUAGCCAUGCCGCGUGAGUGAUGAAGGCCUUAGGGUUGUAAAGCUCUUUCAGCUGGGAAGAUAAUGACGGUACCAGCAGAAGAAGCCCCGGCUAACUUCGUG